rnacentral:rRNA from 1 species
UUUGGAGAAAGUUUGAUCCUGGGCUCAGGAUUGAAACGCUGGGCGGGCGGUGCCCUAAUACAUGCAAGUCGAGCGAAUGGGAUUAAGAGCUUGCUCUUAUGAAGUUAGCGGCGGACGGGUGAGUAACACGUGGGUAACCUGCCCAUAAGACUGGGAUAACUCCGGGAAACCGGGGCUAAUACCGGAUAACAUUUUGAACCGCAUGGUUCGAAAUUGAAAGGCGGCUUCGGCUGUCACUUAUGGAUGGACCCGCGUCGCAUUAGCUAGUUGGUGAGGUAACGGCUCACCAAGGCAACGAUGCGUAGCCGACCUGAGAGGGUGAUCGGCCACACUGGGACUGAGACACGGCCCAGACUCCUACGGGAGGCAGCAGUAGGGAAUCUUCCGCAAUGGACGAAAGUCUGACGGAGCAACGCCGCGUGAGUGAUGAAGGCUUUCGGGUCGUAAAACUCUGUUGUUAGGGAAGAACAAAGUGACUAGUUGAAUAAGCUGGCACCUUGCACGG